AAACUUUCAACAACGGAUCUCUUGGUUCUGGCAUCGAUGAAGAACGCAGCGAAAUGCGAUAAGUAAUGUGAAUUGCAGAAUUCAGUGAAUCAUCGAAUCUUUAAACGCACAUUGCGCCCGCCAGUAUUCUGGCGGGCAUGCCUGUCCGAGCGUCAUUU
rnacentral:rRNA from 1 species